AUUGCUUAUUUUAUUAUAACCAUGGCUUCUGCCAAAAGGCCACGGGAGAAAUAAGCUGAUAAUUUUUUCGUCCCCUCUGGAAACAUUUCAUAUUUCUUCAUUGUAUUGAUAGAGUUUUGUUUUAGCGUCAACUUUUCUGGAGUUCUUGUUCCGUGGAUAUAAUUCCAAGAAUCACGCCAGCCGUGUUUUCAUCUAUUCGUAUACACCAAUUGCGGUCAUCGUUUUUUCCGGAUACAGUUUUUGCAUCUAUCCUAAAAGCUGGUGCGUCCAGUUUUUAAAGUGAUUUUAAUUAUUUCUUCGGACACACUAAUGGCCGAAAAACAGGUUCUUGGUCCCGACUGCUGCUAAUCGUUUGCGUUCAUCGGCCAAUAUCAACAUGGAAGAUUGUUUGCAAGAAGUCUGAAUAGCUGAGAUGUCUACAUGUAUAUUGAUAAGCCAUUUUGAAAGGAAAUUCUAAUGAAUCAUUAGCAGUGCCCAUCGAGAACCUUGUCGUCGGGUGGAGAAAGUGCAUGCGUGCAAAACACUGGAUACUAGUUAUGUAAUAUACUUUCAAAGGCUUAUACCUUGCAGGCAAAAUAUCGGAGUCUAUUGUCUAAAGGAGAAACGGUACAUUGCAUAGGUAUGCAUACAAAUAAUAAAUGGUCAAAACAGCAGUAUGGGUGGGAGUUGGGUGUAUUUUAGAAUUCUGCUGUUUUUCAGACAAAACAUAUUAAAAGUUGAUACUUCUCUUACUCAAUAUCAACGUUCAUUUUAAAAUAAGAACUUUGUUUGAUAUAUUUCGUCAUUUAUGCCCAGAAAAUUGUGUUUUUGUGCAUCGCUAAAUAUGAUUUCUUGAGCAAUUUGUAAAUCAAUAUCCAUUGUAUUUGUUCUUUAGCUGUUUUGCUAUAGUAAAGAAAUGAUGCGAAGAUGGAAAAGAGGCAAAAGUUUCCGAAUAAUCAGUGAAUAGAUCUUCAAUGAUGUAAGAAUGAUCUAUGACAUUAAUAACCUUGCAUACUUAUAUUACAUUUGUUUUGUUUUGCUUUUCCAGAUUUUGAUUUGGUUGACGUUUUACUUUCUUAUAUACAGUAGAAUCUCACUUUUUGGUGCUCGGAAGUAAAGCGUAAUGCUGUAGAUGUAGAUGCGGUUAAAUCCGGAGUAUGGUUUGUUGUAAACUUCAUACAAAUAAACA